rnacentral:rRNA from 1 species
GUCCACGCCGUAAACGAUGAUAACUAGCUGUCCGGGCACUUGGUGUCUGGGUGGCGCAGCUAACGCAUUAAGUUAUCCGCCUGGGGAGUACGGUCGCAAGAUUAAAACUCAAAGGAAUUGACGGGGGCCUGCACAAGCGGUGGAGCAUGUGGUUUAAUUCGAAGCAACGCGCAGAACCUUACCAGCGUUUGACAUCCCGCGCUACCCAGAGAGAUUUGGGGGUUCCCUUCGGGGACGCGGUGACAGGUGCUGCAUGGCUGUCGU